UGGGGAAUAUUGGACAAUGGGGGCAACCCUGAUCCAGCAAUACCGCGUGUGUGAAGAAGGCCUUCGGGUUGUAAAGCACUUUGGGCGGGGAAGAAGGUAUUCUGUUUAAGAGAUGGGAUAUUUGACGGUACCCGCAGAACAAGCACCGGCUAACUCUGUGCCAGCAGCCGCGGUAAUACAGAGGGUGCGAGCGUUAAUCGGAAUUACUGGGCGUAAAGGGCGCGUAGGCGGUCUAUCAAGUGAGAUGUGAAAUCCCCGGGCUUAACCUGGGAACUGCAUCUUAAACUGAUAGGCUGGAGUACUGUAGAGGAUAGUGGAAUUUCCGGUGUAGCGGUGAAAUGCGUAGAGAUCGGAAGGAACAUCAGUGGCGAAGGCGACUGUCUGGACAGAUACUGACGCUGAGGCGCGAAAGCGUGGGGAGCAAACAG
rnacentral:rRNA from 1 species